AAGCCAGCCAGCAAGCAGCACUCCUCCAUGACUUCUGCCUCAGUUCCUGCUCUGGAUUUUCUCAAUGAGGAACUUUUAAGCUCCAAAUCGUUCCUGAAGACGCAUCUCAGAAGCACAAAGCGGGGCCUUUCAAUCACUUGGCAAAGUUGGGGAGAAAAAAAGAUUUUAAAGAGCAAAAGCGCACAACGAAACCACAAUCACACAAGUCCACAAGAGUCUCCU
rnacentral:sRNA from 1 species